rnacentral:lncRNA from 1 species
CACAACACACACACACACACAAAGCACAGCAGGUGCAACACUAGCUGCAAGCACAAGAAGUAGGCAGCAAUGGUGAGGCAUCGCCUCCUCGCCGUGCUCCUCAUCGGGGUAGUUGCAGCCUCUGCCUUCAACCAAGCAGCUGCCGCUGGCCGAGGCCUUGCCGCCAUCGAGAAGUUUGCAGAGCUAGAGCCAAAGCCAGAAACCAAACCAGAGCCAAUGCCCAAACCUACGCCACACCCAGAGCCAGAGCCAUGCGAACCUGAACCGAUGCCCAAACCCAAACCAAAGCCCGAACCAAAACCCGGACAAAAGCCCAAGCCCAAGCCGAUGCCAAAACCAAAGCCCAAGCCCUGCUCCAAACCAAAGCCACUUCCUAAGCCCGAGCCAAUGCCGAAACCCGAACCAAAGCCGGAGCCCAAGCCUAAUGAACCGAAACCGAAGCCGCCUCCUAAGUGCAAACCACCGACGGCUCACAAUUGAUGGGAUACUUGUAUAUGACAGUUGAUGGAGGAGACCCCAUAAUGGAGGACACCCCAUACGGCGCCACACUGUGCUAUUUCUAGAAUAAGUGGUUCCAUUUAUUUUUAUUGUUCCAUGCAUGUGUGAUGAGUAUGAGUACUCUGUACUUAUUAUUUGCUUGUUGGUAUAUGUUCAUCUACUUUGUACGUGACUCGACUCGUUGUUCUUUUGAGUUUCUACACAUGAUUGUAUUCAUUCACAUGAAUGAGCUAUUUUGUCAGUGAACUGCAGUCUAUGUUGUUUUCUCUAUGGUGUGCAGUCUCAGUUAUUUUCUCUACGGGAUUGUUUCAUUAUUANNNNNNNNNNNNNNNNNNNNNNNNNNNNNNNNNNNNNNNNNNNNNNNNNNNNNNNNNNNNNNNNNNNNNNNNNNNNNNNNNNNNNNNNNNNNNNNNNNNNNNNNNNNNNNNNNNNNNNNNNNNNNNNNNNNNNNNNNNNNNNNNNNNNNNNNNNNNNNNNNNNNNNNNNNNNNNNNNNNNNNNNNNNNNNNNNNNNNNNNNNNNNNNNNNNNNNNNNNNNNNNNNNNNNNNNNNNNNNNNNNNNNNNNNNNNNNNNNNNNNNNNNNNNNNNNNNNNNNNNNNNNNNNNNNNNNNNNNNNNNNNNNNNNNNNNNNNNNNNNNNNNNNNNNNNNNNNNNNNNCAUAAGGGAAGAGAAGGCCUCCCUAAAUAGCAGCACAAUAUGAAGUGUAUAGUGUGCACGUACGUGUCUGGUGUUCUAGAUGUAUAAAGUGUACCCAUAUGCUAGACAACGGCCUUGUUCUCUACCUUUCACCUAUGAACUAAGUCCCGACCAAGUACGUUAGUAUUUAUGCCCAGGCUCUGUGAGUGAGCUGGCUCCGCUGCUGGUUAUACUAGGUAUACGUCACACACAUUGCUACGGAAAAUUAUAGCAAUGAAAUUAUGAAAAAUAGCAUAUAUGAGAAUAAUACCACACAACAUUCUCACCAUAUGAGGAUAGAAAACCUAGACAUAACUGGAGGUGGAUGCAUGUUAUAUAUAUUGUCUUGUGACCUCCAAGUUUAAUUAUUUGUUGCUGAAAUAUAAAUAGUAAAAAUAAUGUGGUGAAGAGCUUGCAUAUGUUUGAUGAUGUGGAGGACUUGCAUAUGAUGGAAAGUGAAAAUUCGAAUGAUUACAUGCACGCUUGAUGAUAUGGAGGACUUAUGUGUGAUGAAAACUGGUAAGUGAAAGUUGAUUGGUUGCAUGCCCUCCAUAAUGUGAUUGACAUGCAUGUGCAUUUAAAUGGGAUGAAUUACUUAGAUAUAUAGGAUAUGUGUGAAAGGUAACUACACCCCCUAGGUCAAGAUUACCAAUAAAAGGCACCAUGAAUUUUUUUAUUAACGUAUUUUCUCUUUAUCAAUUCGCAACAAGAAAAAUCUCACAGUGAUAGUGUUAUGCAACAUACGAGAGACCAUAAUAAUCUCUCACCACCCCAUGGUACUGGCAGGGUCGGCUCAAUGAUUUUGAGAGCCCUUGGGUGAAGUUGGCGAAUUGAUUGUCUUUUGCUUCAACACCCGACAAAUCCUUUUUAAGCAACAUUAGGGUAACCAUAAAACUAAAGAGGAAAGUAAAUACAUAAAUAGAGAAGUUAGAGCCCUAACAUUUAACAUGCUUCGACGAAUGGGUGGCACUGGUAAUAUGGUUAUGGGUGUGUGGAAUGAGAGGCCUAGAGAGUGACAAGCUGGUGCCUCGCUGUCACAGACAUCUGAGGAGGUGGCGAGACUCAUGCCGUCAAGCUUACCCGCGAAGACAAAGAUCGCGAAUUGCGAUUAGGAGAGCUGGUGAUGCCAUGUGUUAGUGUCGCGUGCCGAUUGUGAUUAUUUUCAUUUUUAUGGACCAAUUCAACUAUUGACUAAAGACCUAAAGCUUGCUUUUAGGAGAGCAUGUAUGCCUCACUUUUAGGAGAGCAUCUUCACUGCGCUUAUAGCGCUCAUUAGUGCCACAUCGCACAGGUGCUCGCACGCAUAGGUCGUCUCAUUAAAAAGCAAAGGGGUUGCUUGCCCGACGCCCACUACACUCUUUUCUUGCCCGUCUUUUUUCUGGGAUUGCUCUGUUAUGCAAUGAAAGAAAACAUUCACCACUUUUCCAAAUUUAAAACAUUCAUGAAUAUGAAAAUGUUCACAUAUUUGAAAAAAUACGGGUUUGAAAAAAUUAAAUUAAUUCAAAAACACUGAUGACUUAAAAAAUGACAAGUUCAUUUUUUUGUGAAUUUGAAAAAAGGGAAUUCAAACAAGAUUGUAAAUUUGAAAAAAUGUUCACAAAUUUGAAAAAAUUCAUGAAGUUUAAAGUAAAUAUAAAAAAACUGAAGCAAGGCAGAAAAGUAAAAAAAGAGAAAGAAAAACCUGGCCGAAAGUUUCCUGAACCAAAGUUGACCAAUAAGCUUCUGGAAGCUUUCGGGAGUAGCUUCCGCUCACAUAAACGCCAUAGAUUGGCCAACCCUUUUACGAUCUAUAAAAGGAAGAGGUGUGCGCACUUUCUACCAAUAACUUAGAAACCAGUGCUAAAUAACAUAUUUCCACUUUUAGCGAGGGGUAGAACAGAAUUCGACUACAGAGCCACCAUAUGUGCCAAUCGCAACAUUUUUUUCUAGCAAACAAGUUUUUGUCUAUAGGGGGACACGUCUCACCGCCAACGAACGGAUUUUUCUCAUUUUUAUUUUCAUUUUUCUCAUUUUUGAGAAACUUUUCUAUAAAAUAUAUGGAUUUGUACUUUUUUACAAGUGAUCAUGUAGUUUAAUAAGUGUUCAUGUACUUCAAAAAUGUUCAUAAGAUAUUUGUGAAACGUUUUCAAAAUAUCAAACAUUUUGCAAAUACACAUAGAUUAAAAAGUGUUCAUAUUUUUCCAAAAAUACACACUGUGAACAUUUUGAACAAUACAGGAUCUAGAUUUAUUUUAAUACAUGAUGAAUCAUUGAAAUAACAAUAUUUUCUGAAAACAAAAAAUGUUUUUCUUAUCCAUGAUAAUUUUUAAAUACACUGUAAAUAUUUUGUUCGUACACGAAGAACAUUUGGUAAAAAACAUGAGUGAACAUUGCCCGCUGCCGGUGAGGGAGGGGCGAUGAUGGUGGUGCACUUUCAGCUUGAUCGAGUGAUUUUAUACAUCGCUAGGUGGUCUAUGGAUCUGAAUGUAUGUUCUAUUACUUCUGGUGUUCUUAUACUGACAUGACAGUUGAUAAAUAGAUCCAAAACAAUCAUAAAAAAAUAAAAAUAAAAUGUUCAACUUGUCUUAAUAAUUGUUCUUGAGAUUUAAAAUAUAUAUUCUGAUUGUUCCAGAAAAAUUACAUUUCAAUUGUUUUCACAUGUUUACAAAAUUGUUCAUUGCAAUAUUAAAAUGUUCAUGAAAUAUAUAUAAAAAUGUUUUCUUACAGUUUAUAAAAAUAUUCGUGGUAUAUAAAACUUGUUCAUCAUGUUUUAUAAAACGUUCAAACAUGUAUUGGAAAAAUAUUCUAUGUGUAUUUAAAAAAUAUUAAUAUUUUCAAAACAAUCAACAUGUAUUUGAAAUAUGGAAAAUGAAAAACAAAAUAAAAAACAAGAAAAAUAUACAGAAAAGUAAAAGGAAAAAACAAAAAUGAAAACCCUAGACAAACCAGAUAAAGAAAACAGGAAAAAAUCCGGAUAAAACGUUCUGAAAAUCGCAUGAAACAAACCAAUGCUACACUGCCUCCACCGCUACUGGGCCACAGCCCGCACCGCAUCACCAAAGGUGAGCGCCUCACAGUAUGUAGAGACAUAGCAUUUGCGCAAAAUGACCGCACGCAUUGAACAAACUGUUGGCUAGCUAGUUAUUAGAAUGACAUGUAGACUUUUUAAACUCAACAAAAUUAUAGGUACAAUGCUUUGGAUCAUAGAUACAAGAAAUUACAAAAUAACUUCUAUAACUAAGAAUUAGAAUGAAACCCUCUGGAGUCAAAAUAUGAUAAAUGGAGGAAAAAACAUUACUCCCUCCGUUCCACAAUAUAAGACAUUUUUGCAAGCUAGUUAAAACGUCUUAUAUUGUGGGACGGAGGAGUAGCUCAUAUAAUCCUUCCUCUUUCCGAAUAUAUGGCGGUGCUAAACUGGAAAAUCAUACAUGCAUAACUAAAACACAUGCACGCAUGAGACUGGAGAAUGAGAGCAUGCAGCAUCAAAAUAGGUUAGUUUGUCGGAGAGUUAUAAGAUUCAAUAGUUUGAGACAAUACGCAUAAUAAAAUCCCCAUUGCUAUCUAUGUGCCUAGUAUAUAUAUCGGGCCAGAGGGAGUGCUUGAGAAAACACCGAGUCAGCAAAAAUCGGUCAAUGAAGCUUCCAACUGGUGGUGCAGCCGUGCAGCUCACGCACGAGGUGCACAAUCCUCGGCCAGUUCCUUUCCAGAGACCUUUGCUUUCCAUUGUGAAUUGAACUGAAGCGUUUGCUUUGUACUCCCUCUGUAAACUAAUAUAAAAGCAUUUAGAUCAUUAUAAAGUAGUGAUCUAGACGCUUUUAUAUUAGUUUCCGGAGGAAGUACUUUGUAUUGCAUUGCACUAACGUGUACACGGUCUAUCUUGUUUUCUAAAUGAUGACCGGUCACACGGACUUGUGGGCACGGGAUUGACAAGGCAACUAACAGAAUUCUAUUACUACGAGGAGGCAACUAACAGAAUUCUAUUACUACGAGGAGGCAACUAACAAAGUAAAAAUAUCGUUACUCACCCUACUAUCAUCAUAGAGAUACACACGUAAUAUCCAGCUGUGCUUAGGCUGGUCAUAGUGGGGAGUAACUUAGAGUAGUAACAUGCAUAUGUUACUACUCUAGUUACUACCCUUAUAGUGGGAAAUGUCAUAUGUGUAGUAACAUACACAUGUUCAUUUAUUGUCUUAUAGACUCAUUUUGCAUUGAAAAGCGCUAUGUGAUGGUAACAUAUUAGGUUACUCUAUUUACCUCUCUCCUCAUUUACUACUUGUCACAUCAACAUUUUUGCUUAUGUGGCAUCUAUGUUACUACCUAUGUUACUCCCACUAUGACCAGCCUUAUUAACACCUCUACCUACGUAGUAGGUUGCUUCAUUUGUAAUCAACAAAUUAACCAAUCCAUUGCCAAUUUGCCAUGUUACCCAGUACUACUUGUCAGUCCAGCUAGCUAUCUGCAAUUUACUAAUUAAUGCAGCCUCCAGAUCUGGUUUGUUUCACCCAGCCUAUAAAACCACACAAUAUGUACCUCCAGUUUUGCACACAACACACACACAAAGCACAACAGCUAGCUGCAACCACAAGUAGGCUGUAAUGGCGAGGCAUCGCCUCCUUGCCGUGCUCCUCAUCGGGAUAGUUGCAGCCUCCACCUUCAACCAAGCAGCUGCGGCUGGCCGAGGCCUUGCCGUUGUCGAGAAAUUUGCAGAGCUAGAGCCAAAGCCAGAAUCCAAACCAGAGCCAAUGCCCAAACCUAUGCCACACACAGAGCCAGAACCAUGCAAACCUGAACCGACGCCCAAACCCAAACCAAAGCCCGGACAGAAGCCUGAACCAGAACCCAAGCCCAAGCCGAUGCCAAAACCGAAGCCCGAGCCCUGCUCCAAACCAAAGCCGGGGCCUAAGCCCGAGCCGAUGCCAAAACCUGAACCAAAGUCGGAGCCCAAGCCUAAACCUGAACCGAAACCAAAGCCGCCUCCAAAGUGCAAACCACCAACAACUCACAAUUGAUGGGAUACUAUAUACGAGAGUUGAUGGAGGAGACCCCGCACGGAGCCACACUAUGCUAUUUCUAGAAUAAGUGGUGUAGUAUUCCUUGUGUUCCAUUUCUUUCUAUUUUCCCAUGUGAGCGUGAUGAGUACUAGUAGUGUGUAAUUACUAUUUGGUUGUUGGUAUAUGUUCAUCUACUUUGUAUGUGACUUGACUCGCGUUGUUCUUUUGAGUAUCUACGCAUGAUUGUAUUCAUUCACAUGAAUGAGCUAUUUUGUCAGUGGACUGCAGUCUGCUGUUUUUCCUAUGGGUUGCAAUCUCAGUUAUCUCUAUGGGAUUAUUUCAUAUUAUGUGGUCUUUUUUGGGGGGAAAGAUGAUGUCAACAAAAAGGAAGAGAAGGACUCCCUAAAUUGCAGCACGCAUAUGAAGUGUAUAUGCGGGUAUGUGUCUGGUGUUCUAGAUGUAUAAAGUGUACUCACAUGCCAGACAGCGGUUUUGUUCUCUACCCUUCGCCUAUGAACUAAGUCCCGACCAGGUGCGUUAGUAUUUGGUUUGAGCCCCGUUCCUACAUCCUGCUUGAGCCCCGUUCCUACCCUAGCGCCGCCACCACCAGGCGACUAGGGAGAGGCGAUCUUUUCCUCCGAUCUCCACCGGCCGGGGCGCUGGCCCCCUCUCCCUUCGGCCACUGCUCCGGCGGCAGGAGGGAGGGGGACCCCGUUCCUUCGCUCUGUAGUUAGGGUUUGGAUUUGUAGGUCGUGGUGCGUCGUUGGGGUGGUGGGAGCGGCACCUGGACGAAUAAAUCUGCUUCAACUCUACUCCCACACCGGCGGUGUCUUUCAUGGCGGCGUCUCGGAGUUGAUGGCAUCGUGUCUCUGUCGAUCCCUCAGAUCGGCAGCAUUAGGGUUCAUGGAUGAUGUUGGCGAGACGGCGGCGGCGACUCCAUCAGGUGUGUCUCUCCUUAUGCUCUGUCCCGGUUGCUGUGGCGUUGUCUCCGACGUCAUGGUGGAGCAGGGAGGUUUUGUCGUUCAGGAGUACGCGCAGGCGGUUGUCUACACAAGUGACAGCUGGAAGAUGGAGUAUCCUGUGUUGGGUCUGUGGUCGAAGGAUGCCAGUUCUGGUUUCCUCCUCCGACGUCGUCAUCGUCAUGCGGGGGUGUCAGUUCUGAAAUUCGAUGGCGUGUACGGGGACAUGUUGCCCCGGUCUGAUUCUGUCAACGGCUAUGGUUUUGUUUCUGGCAAACUACUUUGGAGGUCCGUAAAGCUGUUGAUCAGCGAUGAAGUCGCAUCGAGCUUUGGUGAAGAGGUGAUCUGUCUUUUUAUCCUUUGGUGGUCACUUCGGUGGUGUCCAAGGAAAGGGACAUGCGCUAGUAUUUUGCAUAAGAUUUUCCUAUCUUUUCAGUUAUGUAUGAUCGGUGCUUACAUGACUUGUAACUUGAUCUUUAUUCUAUUUCUAUAUAAAUGAGACACGUAUUAUCAUGAAAAAAAAGGUGCAUUAGUAGUUAUACCCAGGCUCUACUAGUGAGUUGGCUCCGUUGCUAGUUAUACUAGGUAAACAUCACACACAUUGCUACGGAAAUUUAAAGCAAUGAAAUUAUAAAAAAUAGCAUAUAUGUGAAUAAUACCAUACAACAUUCUCAACAUAUGACAAUAGAAAACCUAGAUGUAACUGGAGGGUGGAUGCAUGUUAUGUUGUCUUGUGACCUUCAAGUUUAAUUAUUUGUUGUUGAAAGAUAAUAAAUAGUAAAAAUAAUGAGGUGAAGAGCGUGCGUGUGUUUCAUGAUGUGGAGGGCUUGCAUAUGAUGGAAAGCGAAAAGUCAAAUGAUUACAUGCACCCUUGAUGAUGUGGAGGACUUGCAUGUGAUAAAAAAUGGUAAGUGAAAGUUGAUUGGUUGCAUGUCUUUCAUGAUGUGAUUAAUUUGCAUGUGCAUUUAAAUGGGAUGACUUACUUAGAUAUAUAGGAUAUAUGUGUGAAAGGUUACUGCAACCCCCCGGUAUAUAUGUGUGAAAGGUAAUUGCACCCCCUGGUAAAGAGAUAAGUGCCGGAGCUACCAAAAAAUUAUUGGGCAGGCCAAGGUGGCCCGUCCUAAAGGAAACACAUUUUUCUCUCUCAAAAGGCCCAAGUUUACCUAUACUAUGGCCACGUAAGGUAGAGUGGAAGAAAAGCUCUCACGUCGCCCCUCUCGGGCGACUCGGGAGCGGCCCCAAACCCUAGCCGCCACCUCCUCUCCUCCCUCCUGCCCCCUCCUCGCCGCCACCCGAGGAGCCUGCCGGCUGCCGCGCGUCUUCCGGUGAAGGUGGCGGCGAGGAUCUGCUGCCUCGCGCCGGCGUGAGGAGCUUUGGAAGCCAGGGCGGCGGCCCUGGGUGGAGAUGGAGGCGUCGAUUUCUCCGGUGGAUGAUGCGCGUAGGUGAUGGUCGUCCCUCCCGGCCGCGUGGGUGGCGUGAGGACGGCGAGGUCUUGCUGCAGCGGUGGGCGGCUCUCUUCCUCCCAGCCCCUUCCCUCCUGCAGUGGUCUCCUCUCGCCGAUCUGGUGGCUGGUUCGUCAGAUCUGGGCUUCGAGGAUGGGGCGGUGGAGACUUGGAACGGGGGAAACCCCUGGUCGAUUUCGCGUCGACCUCGACGCCGGCGGCGCUCCGGUGUCGUUCUCCCUCUUGAGGGCGGGUCGAGCUUCCAGAUCCGUCCCUCCUCCUCCUCCUCCCUUCCCCGGGCGAAAGCUUGGCCUUUUUGGCCGGACAGUGGAGGCGUUCUGGCGUCUCGGCCCUUCCUGGAGGCGCCGUUCAAGGGGUGGUUGGGGGUUGUGGACCUGGUGCGUGGUGGUGGGUGGCGGUGGUGGUACUCGGUUCCCCUGGUUGCCGACGUUGGUGGUGACGUGUAGGUUCUUCCGCAUCCUUCAGCGGCUCCUCACUUUGUUUGCUGGUUGGUCGCCGGCUGGCAGUGGGUGUCCGUGUGUUUGGCACGGUCUGGAAGAAGGGGAGAUAGUGGUCUCUCCUCCGGCAGUGGCCCGAGGCGGCGGCCGGUGCAGUCGAUGGUUUCCUUCACGCGGUCUGGAUCUUCAUGUUCACGGCUUUUGCUGUCGCCGGGUGGCUUCGGCCCUGCCGUUCUAGCUGUGCAAGAUCUCCGGCGGCUUGAUCGCAGUAUUUCUUGCUGCCUUAUUCUCUGUUGCUCUUGGUUGUAGUGAAUUUGGCAUGUCUUUUUCAGUUUUUGUCAAGUCUUUGCCUUUGUAAUUCAGCACCAUUGUAUCCUAGCCGGUUGAUGGCUUCAUUAAUUUGAAGUCGGGUCUUUGUGCCUUUUCUCUAAAAAAAAGUUUACAUAUACUAUUUGAUGUUUUGGCUAUGCAUUGGGCCGGCUAUAUAUGGCCCAUCUGGCCUUGCUUUAGCUCCACUAGUGGUCAAGACUAUAAGAAAACGCACCAUGAAAAAUAUUAUAACAAUUUUUCUCUUACUCAAUUCGCGACAAGAAAAAUCUCUCUAUGAUAGUGCUACACAACAUAUGAGAGACCAUAAUAAUCUCUCACCCAUCCCAUGGUGCUGGCAGGGUCAACUCUAUAAUUUUGAGAGCCCUUGUGUGAAAUUGGCAAAUUGAUAGUCUUUUUUUUCUUUUAUUGUGCAUGAAAACUCCUUUUAAGCAACAUUAUAGUAACCCUAAAACUGACAAGGAAAGAAAAUACAUAAGUAGAAUUUUAGAAAUCAGAGCGCUAACAUUUAACAUGCUUCAGCGAAUGGGUGGCUCUGGUAAUAUGGAUAUGGAUACGAGGAAUGAGAGGCCUAGAGAGUGAUAAGCUCAUGCUUCGUUGUCACAGACGCCCGAGGAGGCGAGACACCCACGUCGUCAAGCUUCGAGACAAACCUGUGAAGAUGAAGAUCACGAAUUACAAUUAGGAGAACUAGUGAUGCCAUGUGUCCGUGUUGCACACCGAUUAUGAUUCUUUUCCCUUUUAUGGACCAGUCAACCAACGGCUAAAGGCCUAAAGCUUCUUGAAGAGCGUGUAUACCUCAAUUUUAGGAGAGCUCCUUCUCACCGCUUAUAGUGCUCUUUCUUUUUUUUGCGAAAACACUUGUAUUACUCAACUCAUAAUGUCUUUACAAUCAUCAAGGGAAAUACCCAAGACCUCAUCUGGCCCAGAUCCCAGCCAGGUCAUAGUCCGCCCUCUACUCGAGCAAAUCUAGCCAAACUAUCACUAGCUUUAUUAUGGGCUCUCAAAACAUGAGUAAUACAAGUUCGUCUCAAAGGAAGCAGCAACCUUAUUUCAUUAACCAACGAGGCAUAGACUGAACGAUCAACUUCGCCGGAGCUUAUCAUGGAGACGGCCAAGCUUGAGUCUGACUCAAUGACAAUGGGCAGUUCUGAACUCUGUAUGGCGAGCGAAACGCCCUCCAUGAUAGCACAUAAUUCAGCUUCAACAACGUCUCUACAGGAAUAUAACACCCUGCAGCUUGACAAAAUAAUCACACCCCUGGAGUCUCGAAGAAUCAUACCAGCGCCCGCUUUAUCAUCCGUUACAAACGAUCCAUCUGUAUUCAAUUUCACCCAGCCAACAUCCGGUGGCUUCCACCUACAUUCAGGGUCCGUUCGCUGAUGUUGCACCUGUACGGAAGACAUAUGAUCCAAGGAAACGAAUCCCUUGCCUUUAGCCGGGUCCAUUCCUGGAUUUUGUUUGAUCCCAAUCAACUCUUCCAAAUACCUUUUCAGAAAACUAACAGAGACAUCCAUAGCGGGAGCUGGUUUAAAGUGCACUACUUCAUUUCGAACAUACCAACUUCUCCAUAGUGCUCAUUAGUGCCGUAGCGCACAAGAGCCCGCGCGCAUGUGUCAUCCCAUUAAAAGGCAAAGCGGUUGCUCACCUGGCCACCCACUACACUCUUUUUUCGCCAGCCUUUUUUUUCCUGGAAUUGCUCUGUUAUUCAAUGAAAAAAUGCCACCGGUUUUCUAAAUUUAAAAAUUCAUGAAUAUGAAAUAUUUCACAAAUUUGAAAAACAAUUAUGGUUUGAAGAGAAUGAAUGCAAAAACAUUGAAAAUUUUGAAAAAAAUCACAAAUUCAUUUUUUGUGAAUUCGAAAAAAGUUGAUUCAAAAAAGUUUGUGAAAUUUGAAAAAAAAAUCUCAUGAAUAUGAAAAAAUGGUCAAAAUUUGAAAAAAUAUGGUAGAGAAGUUUAACAUUCAAAUAAUCAGAAAAAGAGAAAAAAGGCGGAAGAGUAAAAAAGAAAAAUCAGGCCGAAAGUUUCCAUAGCCAAAGUUGGCCCAUAAGCUUCUGGAAGCUUCCUAAAAUCGAGAGGAGGGAGCUUCCGCUCAUGUGAAUGCCAUAGAUUGGGCAGCCCUUUUACAAUCUAUUGAAGGAAGAGAUGUGUGCGCUUUCUGCCAAUAACUUGGAAACCAAUGCUAAAUAGCAUAUUUCCACUUUUAGCGUGGCAUAGAACGGAAUUCAACUAUAGAUCCACGAUAUGGGCAAAUCCCAACAUUUUUUCUAACAAGCUACUUUUUUCUAUAGGGGCAGAUGUCUCACUCUAACUACGAGUAGGAUUUUUUUGUUCUUAUUUUCACAUUUUUCUUUUCAUUUUUCCUAAUUUUCUAUUAAACGCUCUAUAACAUAUAUGGGUGAUCAUAUAGCUUAAUAAGUGUUCAUGUACUUUAAAAAAUUUCAUCACGUAUUUAUAAAACGUUUUCAAAUAUGAAACAUUUUUAAAAUACACAUACAAUUACAGAAGUGUUCAUAUUUUUCUGAAAAUAUACACUAUGAACAUUUUGAACAAUACGGAUGAAGAUUUAUUUUAAUACAUGAUGAACCUUUGAAAUCACAACAUUUUCUAAAAAUACACAAUGAUUUUUAUAUACACAAUAAAUAUGUUUUUCAUACACGAUGAACAAUUUGUAAAAACAUGAGUGAACAUUGCCAAACUCCGAUGAGGGAGGGGCGAUGAUGGUAGUACGCCUCCGGCUUGCUCGAGUGAUUGUAAACAUUGCUAGGUGGUCUACGGACCUAGACAUAAGUUGUAUUACCUCUGGUGUUCUUGUACUGACAUAAUGGUUGAUAAGUAAAUUGGAUUUUUUUUCAUAAUUUUAUUCAGAAAAAUGUUCAACAUGUCUUACAAAUUGUUCCAGAGAUUAAGAAAAAUAUAUUCGCAUUUUUCAAAAAGAACUGUACAUUUCAAUUUUUUCACAUGUUUAGAAUAUUGUUCAUGAAUUAUAAAAAAAUGUGUUAUUACAUUUUUGGACAGAUGUUUGUGGUAUAUAAAAAUUGUUCAUCAUGUAUUUAUAAAACAAUCAAACUUGUAUUAAAAAAAUAUUCUAUGUGUAUCUAAAAAUGUUUAUUAUUUUUAAUAAUUUCAAUGUGUAUUUGGAAAAUUGGAAAAAAAAAUGAAACAAUGAACAGGAAAAGUAAAGAGAAACCAAAAAUGAAAAACCUAAACAAACCCAAUAAACAAGAGAAAUAAAAAAACCAGACAAGAGGUUAUGAAAUCACAAGCAACAAACAAAUGCUAUAGACCUCCACCACUACUAGGCCACAGCCCACACCGCAUCGCCAAAGGUGAGCGCCUCGCAGUAGACAGAGACAUAGCAUUUGCGCAAAAUGACUACACACGUUGAACAAACUGUCCGCUUUCAUGCACUUUGGGUGGAGCUUAUCAUGGAGUGUGUAUCUUCAGUAAGCUAUAUGGUCCGGUUCAAUAAUACAGAAACUGAAGAAUUUGCUCCCACGAGAGGGCUCAGACAGGGUGGCCCAUUAUCACCUUAUUUAUUUCUCUUGUGCUCUGAGGGUCUUUCAAGCUUAUUAGCUCAUGAACAGGAAAUUGGAGGAGUGGAAGGGGUCCGUGUUUGUAGAAAUGCCCCCCUAUCUCACAUUUACUGUUUGCAGAUGACUCCUUGAUCCUAAUGAAGGCGGACUCACAUAAUGCAAGUACACUCAAAAGUGUUCUUGACACAUAUUGUGCUAGUUCUGGGCAACUAGUUAGUAAUGCUAAAUUGAGUAUAUUUUUUAGUCCUAAUACUAAUGUCAAUACCAGGGAGAAUGUGUGUAGAGAUUUAAAUAUUGAGACAGAAGCUCUAUCUGACACAUACUUAGGUCUCCCUACAAUGGUGGGAGUCGACAGAACUGACUGUUUCCAGCACUUGAUCGAUAGAGUUUGCCAGAGGUUGAAGGGAUGGAAGGAGAAGACACUCUCGAUGCAAGGUAAAGAGGUACUGGUAAAGUCGGUAGCCCAAGCAAUACCUUCUUAUGCAAUGUCAGUUUUUAAAUUGCCUAAAGGAAUUUGUAAGUCUAUCACCGAUGAAAUUGUUGGGUUCUGGUGGGGUGAGAAUGCGGAGAAAAACAAAAUGCAUUGGUUUGCAUGGUGGAGGUUGUGUAUUCCGAAGAAGGAAGGGGGUUGGGUUUUAGAGACUUGCACAGUUUUAAUCUUGCUAUGUUAGCAAAACAGUGUUGGCAACUAAUCCAAAAUCCGGAUUCUUUGUGUGCGCAAGUUCUGAGGGCAAAAUAUUACCCAGAUGGCGACAUAUUGAAAGCUGGACCAAAAAAGGGCUCUUCUUAUACUUGGCAGAGUAUUGUCGCAGGUAUUCAGACAUUUAAGUGGGGUUGUAUUUGGUGUGUUGGAAGUGGAUCUCAAAUUGAUAUCUGGCAUGAUCCAUGGAUUCCAUCAAGUGUCACAAGGAAAGUAAUCACGAAUAGGGGUGCAACAAUACUUUCAAAGGUUGAUGAGUUAAUAAAUCCGUACACAGGCCAGUGGGAUGAGGAUCUAAUUUGUGAUGUUUUCUCUCCUGUCGAUGUUCAUAGGAUAUUACAAAUCCCCUUGAAUUAUCACUUGACAGAAGACUUUGUGGCUUGGAACUAUACAUGAUCAGGCACGUUUUCCGUGCGAUCGGCUUAUCAUAAGGAGUUUGAACAUCAACAAGGGGCACAGUGGGUGCGAGCUGAUGGGCAAGGCACAGAAAAUAUAAAUCCAGUUUGGAAGGAUAUGUGGAAGCUGAAAAUACCAGGGAAGAUAAAACAUUUUGCAUGAAAAGUUUUGCAUGGCGCCCUCCCAUGCUUUGGUGUAUUAGCAAGCCAACAAAUCCCAUGCUCAUCUCAAUGUCCAAUUUGUUUAGUGGGAGCAGAAGACAUUCAACACUGCUUAUUUAAGUGCCGACGAGCGACGGAUGUUUGGGAGCGGCUGGGCUUGCUACAAGUCAUACGGAAAGCUGUGGCCGAGGACAGAUCAGGAUCUAUUACGAUGGAAAUUUUAUCAAAGCUUCAGGGCAAUGAUGCGGAGGUACCAACGGCGGAGCUUACUGUUGUAGCAGCAUGGUAUAUAUGGUGGCAGCGCCGACAGAUAGUAAAGAGAGUCAAAGUCCAAACGCCGGAAAAAACUGCGCUAGCCAUCAAGAUUUUGGCGACAAAUUACCUCAGGUCAGAUAUACCCAAAGGACCAAUAAGGAAGAAUGACCACAUGUGGAGGAAACCAGGAUAUGGGAUCGUGAAGAUAAAUGUUGAUGCUUCCUUUCAGUAUGAAACACUUUCAGGUGCUUGUGGUGCUGCGGCUCGGGACGACCGGGAUGAUUUUAUUGCUGCAGCAAGUUGGUUUGUUCCAAACAUCAGUGGAGUUGACUCAGCUGAGCUAACUGCUAUCAGAAACGGGAUAUACUUGGCAACUCACAUUGGAUGCAACAACAUAGAAAUUGAAUCAGAUUGUUCCUUCGCAGUGGACUCGCUGAACCAAGUUGAUGAUUAUUUAGGCCUGGAGGUAGCUAUCAUCACAAAGUGUAAACAACUUAUGAUGGACUUUGCGUCCAUAUCCUUCAGACAUUGCUAUAGAGAGGCCAAUCAGGUGGCAGAUGAAUUAGCAAAGAACUCUUUUACUACUGGAUCCUCUAGUUCUUGGGAUGAUGAGAUCCCUGAUUUUAUUUCUCAUCUGCUUGUAAAUGACAUGUCUAUUAUUUGAGAAAUAAAGUCUAUUUGCAGUUCAAAAAAAAACUGCCCGCUAGCUAGUUAUUAGAAAGGCAUGUAACUUAAUUCAAACUCAACAAAAUUAUAGGUACAAUGCUUUGGAUCAUAGAUACAAGAAAUUACAAAAUAACUCAUAUAACUAAGAAUUACAAUAAAACCCUCUUGAAUCAAAAUAUGAUAAACAGAGGAAAAAAAUUAGCACAUAUAAUCCUUACUCUAUCCAAAUAUAUGGCGGUGCUAAACUGAGCAGCCCCAUUAGUUUUGGAGCUCCGGCUCCAUGGAGUCCUUUUUGGAAAAUCAUACAUGCAUAACUAAACACCCGCAUGCAUGAGGCUGGAGAAUCAGGGCCAUGCAACAUCAAUAUAGGUUAAUUUGUCGGAGAGUUGUAAGAUUUAAUAAUUUAAGACAAUACGCAUAAUAAAAUCCCCACUAGUGAAGUGUCAAAAACCCUCUUAUAUUGUGGGACACAGGGAGUACAAUUUUAAAACUGUGCCCAGUAUACCGGACCAGAGGGAGAGCUUGAGAAAACACUGAGUCAGAAAAAACUUACUAAGCAGACCAUGGAGCCUUAGAGCAUCUCCAGUCGUGCCCCAGAACGGCCUCCCAAGGCGAUUUUUUUGCGCCGGUGCCAAAAAACGGUCCACUCGCGUCCUCAGGAGCCCGUUUUUCACUGACUUGGGCCGAAAUCAGCGUAGGCGGACCCAGGCCGAACCCGAUGCGUCUUGGGGGGGGGGCGCCCGGGGGCGCCGGGGCGAGUGUUUUGGCGCAAACAGCCGCGGGCCCGCCGAGUCAGCGAGACGGCCGCUUCGUCGACCUCAUCGCCUCGGUUCCCGCGGGAAUCAAUACAAAGGUUGUCGCGCCGGUCAGCCUUCAUUUGAUGCCUCACGGGCGACGGAGUGAAGACACCGCCGACGCGGGUCCCGCCCGCAUGCCGCCGCCCCGCCACCCCGCUUCGGCUAUAAAAGGCGCCCCCUUCCCGCCGGUGAGCGCAAUAGCCUCCCCCACUCCCUCCCGCGAAAGCCUUCUCCCCGCCGGCGAGCUCUCACGCCACUUCCCCCUGCCCGCCGACGAGCGAAACCAUGACGGAGAGAUACCCAGGCAACGGCGCAGCGGCAAAUGGCUUCGGCCGCCGGCACCUCCAGGAGCUGGAGGCGCGCCUUCUGUACGAGGCCGAGUACCCGGCGCCCCCCGACAUGCGCGUGUCGGGUUCGUGGAGGCUGAGCGUCGGAGGCGUCCCGGUGCCGCCGGUGCCCAAAGGGGCGGCAUGGCGGGCGGAGAUCGCCCGCAUCCACUCGUCGCUGACAGAGGAGCAGAGGAACGAGCCGAGGUACGCGCCCGAUAGCGAAACGCUGUGGACGUUGUACUUCGAGUGCCACCGCGAGGAGCAGAUCGCCUCCGUCAACGGCAUCAUCUCCCACGGCCGCCUCAACUCUGAAGGACGGCGUGAGUGGUGGGGCGUCCCCGACCGCACACUCGACGCCGUCGUCGACCACAUCGAGACUGACAAUGUGCCGCGGCUAGAGUACCCGGCGCGACCCUCCUUCUCUCGCCGCCGUGGCAGUUCCUGGAUGUCGCGGCGAAUGGAGCCGGGGUCGUCCUCGUCGUCGGGCUCCGGCUCGCCGACCCUCCGCCCCGCCAAGCCUGAGCCGGAGGGGGCACCGCUCGGGCGCCGCGCUCGCAGCAGCGCCCUCGUCAUCAACGAGCCCUCGCCUGCGGCGGCGCCGGCAAGGCGCUCCCUCCGCCUGGUCCGGCCGAAGCCCGAGCCGGAGAUGCUCCCCGUGAAGCCGGAGCACGCUGGCAUGGUGGCCCCCGACGACAAGUCCGCCCUCAAAUGGGUGAGGGAGGACUACGUCCGCGAACAGAUGCGCCACCAGCGUCGGGCGUACCUGGACACCCAGGCCAGUAGCCGCGCCGAGGCCCGUCGCCGCACCGAGGAGGGCGGCGUCAUCGUCAUCGACAGCGACGACGAGGACGAGGCUGGGCCGUCAAGCGCUGUCGGCGACCACGGCGAGGGAUGCAGCAGGGACGCUGCAGGCGAGGUGCGCGACGACGACGACGACGACGGCAGCGGCGGUGGCUACACCCACUUCUACAGGCUUCUCGGCAUAUAGACGGCGACUGUGGCGGCAGCGGCUAGGCUUUUUAGUUCGUUUUUAAGUUAGUUCAUGCAUGUUUUUAAGUUUUUGUACAAAUUUCGACAAAAAAAGGCCGAGUUCAUGCAAAAGUCGCCGAGGUUGCAAAAAAAUUAAAACGAGCUUCGCCGAACCCGCAGCGACCGUGGGCCUGUGACUGAGAGCGAACCGAACCCCAGGGGGCGAUCUAGCGCUGGCUCGCCCCCAUGCCGGUCUUUUGCAGCACCCUGGGGGCCGAACGGCUGGAGAUGCUCUUAGGGCUUCCAACAGGCUCCAGCGAGUUCCUUUCCAGAGAACUUUGUUUCUUGUAUCUCCACGUGGUGAAGCUCACGCACGAGGUGGCUGCACGAUCGGGUCAGUUCCUUUCCGGAGACCUUUCCUUUCCAUUGUGAAUUGAACUGAAGCGAUUGCUUUUUUACUUUGUAUUGCAUUGCACAAAGGUGUACACAUGCUUGAGGUUGCAUGCUUGAUCUGGAGACUCCCCCUCCUCCUCCCCCUCCCUCCCCCGUGCGGCAGCGCCGCCCCGCACCGGGGAGCCCCUGCCCUCCUCCUACAGCCGCGCCUCACCUCUGCUCCCCUCCGCCGUCGUCGCCCGGGGCGUCACAGGGCAAAGCCCUUAUGGCGUGGCGGCGACGGCGGUUUUCUCCUUGGAUCUUGAUCUGGUUGGGAGGCGGCGCUCCUUUCCGGCCAGAUCGGCGGCGGUGGCGCAGAUCGGCGGCGACACGGAUGUGGUACGGUGGCGGUGGAGGACGGCACCAGCAACGGCGGAUCUGGCCUUGACUCAGUCGGGCUAAUUCGUUGUGCUACCGAUCUUAAUCACCGUCUGCGGUGCACUGCUCCUCGACUUGAUCUGCAACACGAGGAUGUCUGGGGCGCCGACCCUAGGCUUGGUGGUGGUGGCCUUCUUCUUCAUCGGAGUUGGUCGGUCGGUUGGCUGUGCUUGCAUGGUCAUGGCGGCGGAGGUCGCAGUGGCUAGUGGCUUAGCCGGUCAGCGGCGACGGAACAUGGCCGGUGGCAGCGGCAAUGUUCUGUCUGGAUCCCCGGGUAGUGGCCCUGGAUGGUGGCGGCCGGUGAAGCUAGGGCUUCCCGCGGCGGCAUGGUGUGGUGCAGUCCCUGUCCAAGGCAGAUCUGUGACGGCGAUCUGAUCUACGGAUUGGUUCGGAUCAGAGACGGUGACGAGCACGGGAUCCAUCUCGGAGGCUCCCGCGGCUUAGCGAGGCGGGGUAGGAGCCCUCCUCCUAGGCUCUAGUGGUGGCACACUUAGGCAGUGGCCGGUGCGCUAGGGCUCCUACGGCGGCACUGUUGUUGCGGUUGGUCGCCGGAUCUAGGCGGCUAGAUCUAGGGUUCUGAGGGCGGUCGAGACGAUGCACAGGUUGUCAGGUGGACUACUUGUGAUGGAUCCGGGUGAAAACCUGGUCUUCAGUCGAUGGUCGGAGCCGGUGAUGACGAUGCCCUUAUCAUUGUUUUCUUCAUGAAGGCAUCAUCGAGGUGAAGCUCCCAGCUCCACUCAAUACCUCCGGGGAAACCCUAGAUCAGCUGAUUGGAUGUUGGCAGCAAUCAUGUGUCGUUACCCCCUUGGGGGCGGCAUUCUUGGAGGUGCACUCGUUCUUGCGGGACCAGCGGACGGCUUCUUUGGUGGAGCGGUGCUUCAUCCUGCACAUUGAUGGCGACGGAUCUCGGCGACGUGGCGCAGUGCAGAUUCGGCGUUCGAUGUGUUAGGAUGGACUCACGCAGGAGGACAACGUUGUCUGGCGUCGUGGUGGCGUCGAUGGCAGAGAGACCUGGCACGGUAGAUGCAACAGUACAACUCUAAAGAUGGACUGGUGGCAGGUGGCUGCGGCGGCUCAUACCCGGCAGGCGUCCUGGUUGAGGAAUGCGCCGGACUUGUAGGUGCCCCAUAUCCGGCAGGCGUCCUGCUUGGGACCGCAGGUCUUAGAUGUUUAGGUUUGACUGCGAGGUCUGUUUGGUAUUAGGUCCAGACUAUCAGCAUCCUUUCAUCAACUGGAUAGGAGUAGCGACAGAUAUUGCCUAGACGGUGGCUUUAGUCUUACUGUUGUAUGACUUUGUAAGGUCUUGUGUGAAUAAUUAAUAAAAUGAUUGCAUGCAUCGUCCAGAUGCAGAGGCCGGGGGCCCUCCUCCAUUUCUAAAAAAACAAAGAUGUACACUGUCUAUCUUAAUUUCUAAAUGAUGGCCGGUCACAUGGACGUGUGAGCAGGGGAUUGACAAGGCAACUAGCAGAAUUCUAUUACUACGAGGAGGCAACUGAUAAAGUAAAAAUAUUGUUACUCACCCUACUAUCAUCAGAUGGAGACACGCACGCAGAAUCCACUGGACAAGGCGACUAACAUAAUUCUAUUACCACGAGGAUGCAACUAAUAGAGUAAAAAUAUUGUUACUCACACGUACUACCACCACAAAAGACACACACGCAGAAUCCAGCUGUACUUAUUAACACGUCUAGCUACCUACGUGUGGUUUCUUCAUUUGUAAUCAACUAAUCAACCAAUAUAACUCCACCGACAUGUUAUACAGUACUACUUGUCACUCCAGCUAGGUAACUGCAAUGCUAAUUAAUGCAGCCUCCAGAUCUGGUUUGUUUCACCCAGCCUAUAAAACCACACAAUAUGUACCUUCAGUUCUCACACAACACACACACACAAAGCACAGCAGGUGCAACACUAACUGCAAGCACAAGAAGUAGGCAGCAAUGACGAAGCAUCGCCUCCUCGCCGUGCUCCUCAUCGGGAUAGUUGCAGCCUCCUCUUUCAACCAAGCAGCUACGGCUGGCCGAGGCCUUGCUGUUGUUGAGAAGUUCGCAGAGCUAGAGCCAAAGCCAGAACCCAAACCAGAGCCAAUGCCCAAACCUAUGCCACACCCAGAGUCAGAGCCCUGCAAACCUGAACCGCUGCCCAAACCCGAACCAAAGCCUGGACAGAAACCUGAACCAGAACCCAAGCCCAAGCCGAUGCCAAAACCAAAGCCAAAGCCCAAGCCCUGCUCCAAACCGAAGCCCGAUCCUAAGCCCGAGCCAAUGCCGAAACCCGAACCAAAGCCGGAGCCCAAGCCUAAUGAACCGAAACCGAAGCCGCCUCCUAAGUGCAAACCACCGACAGCUCACAACUAAUGGGAUACUUGUAUAUGACAGUUGAUGGAGGAGACCCCAUACGGAGCCACACUGUGCUAUUUCUAGAAUACGUGGUGUAGUAUUCCCUGUAUUCCAUUUAUUUGUAUUGUUCCAUGCAUGUGUGAUGAGUAUUAGUACUCUGUACUUAUUAUUUGCUUGUUGGUAUAUGUUCAUCUACUUUGUAUGUGACUUGACUCGUUGUUCUUUUGAGUAUCUACGCAUGAUGGUAUUCAUUUUCAUGAAUGAGCUAUUUUGUCAGUGAUCUGCAGUCUAUGUUGUUUUCUCUAUGGCGUGCAGUCUCAGUUAUUUUCUCUAUAGGAUUGUUUCAUUAUUAUGUGGUCUUUUUUGGCGGAAAAGAUGAUGUCAACAAAAGGGAAGAGAAGGCCUCCUAAAUAGCAGCACACAUAUGAAGUGUAUAGUGUGCACGUACGUGUCUGGUGUUCUAGGUGUCUAAAGUGUACUCAUACGCCAGACAGCGGUUUUGUUCUCUACCCUUCGCCUAUGAACUAAGUCCCGACCAGGUGCGUUAGUAUUUAUACCCAGGCUCUACGAGUGAGCUGGCUCCGUUGCUAGUUAUUCUAGGUAAACGUCACACACAUUGCUACGGAAAUUUAAAGCAAUGAAAUUAUAAAAAAUAGCAUAUAUGUGAAUAAUACCAUACAACAUUCUCAACGUAUGACAAUAGAAAACCUAGAUGUAACUGGAGGGUGGAUGCAUGUUAUAUUGUCUUGUGACCUUCAAGUUUAAUUAUUUGUUGUUGAAAGAUAAUAAAUAGUAAAAAUAAUGAGGUGAAGAGCUUGCGUGUGUUUCCUGAUGUGGAGGGCUUGCAUAUGAUGGAAAGUGAAAAGUUGAAUGAUUACAUGCACCCCUGAUGAUGUGGAGGACUUGCAUGUGAUGAAAAAUGGUAAGUGAAAGUUGAUUGGUUGCAUGUCCUUCAUGAUGUGAUUAAUUUUCACGUGCAUUUAAAUUUGAUGACUUACUUAGAUAUAUAGGAUAUAUGUGUGAAAGGUAACUGCACCCCCCCCCCUCUGGUAUACACUCCCUCCGUUCCAAAAUAGAUGACUCAACUUUGUACUAACUUUAGUACAAAAGUAGUACAAAGUUGAGUCAUCUAUUUUGGAACGGAGGGAGUAUGUGUGAAAGGUAAUUGCACCCCCUGGUCAAGAGAUUAGUGGCGGAACUACCCGCAAAAUAUUGGGCAGGCCGAGGCGGCCCAUCCUGAAGGAAAACACAUUUUUAUCUCUCAAACACUAGUAGAAAAGGGGGCAUUGGUCCAGGCCGGGUCAGCGCUUUAGUCCCGGUUCAAUCCAGAACCGGGACCAAUGGGGGCAUUGGACCCGGUUCGUGAGCCCCGGGGGCCGGCCGGGCCACGUGGGCCAUUGGUCCCGGUUCAUCUGGACCUUUUGGUCCCGGUUGGUGGGACGAACCGGGACCAAUGUGCCUUGCUCCUGGCCCACCACCACUGGUCCCGGUUGGUGGCAUGAACCGGGACCAAAGGCUUCCCUUUCGUCCCGGUUCAAGCCACGAACCGGGACCAAUUAAUUGCCUAUAUAUACCCCUCGCCCGCGAGCAGAGCACUCUCACUGCUCUGUUUUUCGUGGACGGCGAGGAGAGAGCUUUGUGGUGCUCUAGCUCACCUCCUAUGCACACGAGGUGUUUGAUGGAAUGCCCGAGGCACACUACUUAAGCUUUCUCCUCUCCAAGCUCGACCUCCAAGCUCCAUUUUCCUCAAUAUUUGUCUACGUUUAGCGGUCCGUCACGUCCCGUCCCCGUCUUCACCGUCGUCGAUCGCCCGCGCUGAUCUCGUCGCCGGCACCACCGUGGUGAGCCUCUUGUUCUUAUCUUCUUUCUGAAAGGAAAAAAAAUUCUUACUUGUAUGUUUAUAUAGAUACUUGUAUAAUUUUCUUACUUUUAUUAUUGCAUCUUAUAUAGUGCGAUGGUUUUGGUAUCCGCCCCCGUCGGUCCUCAUCCUGUCUAUGAUUCGGAUGUGGUAUAUAUUAUCUUUUCAUAACUAUUGGUUCAUCUAUUGUUUAUGACAAUUAUGCCGACCAACGUGACAUAGAUUUUAUUUAUCUAGGAGGUUGUUGAACCGGAAAUUCCAACCGACCCUAUUGUCGAGAGGUUAAAUUUAGUUGAAGAAGAAAACAGUUUCUUGAAGGAAAAAAUAGAAAAAUUGAGGAGGAGAAGAUGAUAUUGGAGUUGCAUGUUGCGGAUGUCGUGGAUGAUCACAAGAUCAAGAUGGAUGCAAUGCGCUUGAAGAUUAGAAAAAUUAGAAAAUAUGCCAUUCAUACCGAGGCUUGGUAUCAUUAUGCCGUUGGAUCAGUUGUUACAUUGGUUGCGAUUAUGAUUGCAUUUGUUUUCGCAUUGAAAUGUUUUACAUAGUUUCAAUGUAUGGUUUAAUUAAUUUACAUGCUCUGCAGAGCUUUAUGUUGUUAGAUGAGAACUAUGUAUGUACUUUGGUUUUAAUGUGAUGAUGAACUUCUAUUAAUUUGGUCACUUAAUUAUCUAUUCAUGAUGUUCUGUAAUGAUUUUUGACACACUUGAUUAUAUAUAAUGCACGCAGAUGAACCGGCAAUGGAUGUACGGUUCAAGACACACCUCCGAGUACAUUAAGGGCGUGCAUGAAUUUCUCGAAGUGGCUGAGGCAAACAAGCAGAAUGGUUUUAUGUGUUGUCCAUGCCCUAUAUGUGGAAAUACAAAGUCUUACUCUGACCGGAAAAUCCUUCACACCCACCUGCUUUACAAGGGUUUCAUGCCACAUUAUAAUGUUUGGACGAGGCACGGAGAAAUAGGGGUUAUGAUGGAGGACGGUGAAGAAGAAAAGUACGAUGACAACUAUGUGCCCCCUGAAUACGUGAUGCUACUGAAGAUCAAGAGGAACCAGACGAUGUGCACGAUGAUGCUGCAACAGGCGAAGCUGCUAAAGAUCAAGAGGAACCAGACGAUGUGCCCGAUGAUGAUGAUCUCCGCCGGGUCAUUGUCGAUGCAAGGACGCAAUGCGAAAGUCAAAAGGAGAAGCUGAAGUUCGAUCGCAUGUUAGAGGACCACAAAAAAGGGUUGUACCCCAAUUACGAAGAUGGCAACACAAAGCUCGGUACCGUACUGGAAUUUCUGCAGUGGAAGGCAGAGAAUUUUGUGCCUGACAAAGGAUUUGAGAAGCUACUGAAAAUAUUGAAGAAGAAGCUUCCAAAGGAUAACGAAUUGCCCGACAGUACAUACGCAGCAAAGAAGGUCGUAUGCCCUCUAGGAUUGGAGGUGCAGAAGAUACAUGCAUGCCCUAAUGACUGCAUCCUCUACCGCGGUGCGUACAAGGAUCUGAACGCAUGCCCGGUAUGUGGUGCAUUACGGUAUAAGAUCAAGCGAGAUGACCCUGGUGAUGUUGACGGCGAGCCCCCCAGGAAGAGGGUUCCUGCGAAGGUGAUGUGGUAUGCUCCUAUAAUACCACGGUUGAAAUAUCUGUUCAGAAACGGAGAGCAUGCCAAGUUGAUGUGAUGGCACAGUGAGGACCGUAAGAAAGACAGGAAGUUGAGAGCACCCGCUAACGGGUCGCAGUGGAGAAAAAAUCGAGAGAAAGUACUGGGAUGAGUUUGCAAGUGACCCAAGGAACGUAUGGUUUGCUUUAAGUGCGGAUGGCAUUAAUCCUUUCGGGGAGCAGAGCAGCAAUCACAACACCUGGCCCGUGACUCUAUGUAUGUAUAACCUUCCUCCUUGGAUGUGCAUGAAGCGGAAGUUCAUUAUGAUGCCAAUUCUCAUCCAAGGCCCUAAGCAACCCGGCAACGACAUUGAUGUGUACCUAAGGCCAUUAGUUGAAGAAUUUUUACAGCUGUGGAAUGGAAACGGUGUACGUACGUGGGAUGAGCACAAACAGGAGGAAUUUCACCUAAAGGCGUUGCUGUUCGUGACCAUCAACGAUUGGCCCGCUCUCAGUAACCUUUCAGGACAGACAAACAAGGGAUACCACGCAUGCACGCACUGUUUACUUAACACCGAUAGUAUAUACCUAGGAAGCUGCAGGAAGAAUGUGUACCUGGGCCAUCGUCGAUUUCUUCCGACCAACCAUCAAUGUCGAAAGAAAGGCAAGCAUUUCAAAGGCGAGGCAGAUUACCGGAGGAAGCCCGCCAUGCGUACCAGUGUCACGUACUUGCUAUGGUCAAUGAUUUACACGUAAUCUUUGGAAGGGGUCCCGACGGACUAGCUGUUCCGAGUGACGCUGGGGGACACGCACCCAUGUGGAAGAAGAAAUCUAUAUUUUGGGACCUACCCUACUGGAAAGACCUAGAGGUCCGCUCUUCGAUCGACGUGAUGCACGUGACGAAGAACCUUUGCGUGAACCUGCUAGGCUUCUUGGGCGUGUAUGGGAAGACAAAAGAUACAGCUGAGGCACGGGAGGACCUGCAACGUUUGCACGAAAAAGACGGCAUGCCUCCAAAGCAGUAUGAAGACCCUGCCAGCUAUGCUCUUACCAAAGAAGAGAAGGAAAUCUUCUUUGAAUGUCUGCUUAGUAUGAAGGUCCCGACUGGCUUCUCGUCGAAUAUAAAAGGAAUAAUAAAUAUGUCAGAGAAAAAGUUUCAGAACCUAAAGUCUCAUGACUGCCAUGUGAUUAUGACGCAACUGCUUCCGGUUGCAUUGAGGGGGCUUCUACCGGAAAACGUCCGAUUAGCCAUUGUGAAGCUAUGUGCAUUCCUCAAUGCAAUCUCUCAAAAGGUGAUUGAUCCAGAAAUCAUACCAAGGCUAAGGAGUGAUGUGGUGCAAUGUCUUGUCAGCUUCGAGCCGGUGUUCCCACCAUCCUUCUUCAAUAUCAUGACGCACGUCCUAGUUCAUCUAGUUGACGAGAUUGUCAUUCUGGACCCCGUAUUUCUACACAAUAUGUACCCCUUUGAGAGGUUCAUGGGAGUCCUAAAGAAAUAUGUCCGUAACCGCGCUAGGCCAGAAGGAAGCAUCUCCAUGGGCCAUCAAACAGAGGAUGUCAUCGGGUUUUGUGUUAACUUCAUUCCUGGCCUUAAGAAGAUAGGUCUCCCUCAAUCGCGGUAUGAGGGGAGACUGACUUGAAAAGGCACGCUUGGAAGGGACUCAAUAAUAUGCAGGGACGGAUAUUCUUGGUCUCAAGCACGCUACACAGUUCUAUAGAACUCUACCUUGGUGACCCCGUAUGUCGAUGAACAUAAGAACAGUCUGCGCUCCAAACACCCGGAGCACUGCGACGACUGGAUUACAUGUGAACACAUCAGGACUUUUAGUAGUUGGUUGGAAGCACGUCUCAGAGGUGACAACACUGUUUGUGAUGAGCUGUACUUGUUGUCCAGGGGACCAUCUUCGACUGUUACGAUUUGGAAAGGAUACGAGAUAAAUGGGAAUACAUUUUACACGAUUGACCAAGAUCAAAAGAGCACCAACCAAAACAGCGGUGUCCGCUUUGAUGCAACAACCGAGAGGGGAAAGGACACAUAUUAUGGUUACAUAGUGGACAUAUGGGAACUUGACUACGGACAUGAUUUUAAGGUCCCUUUGUUUAAGUGCAAAUGGGUCAAUCUGUCAGGAGGCGUGGUACAGGUAGACUCACAGUACGGAAUGACAACAGUGGAUCUGAAAAAUCUUGGGUACAGUGAUGAACCGUUCGUCCUAGCCAAUGAUGUGUCACAGGUUAUCUAUGUGAAGGACAUGUCUACCAGACCGAGAAAAAGAAAAGAUAAGGAAGCGAAUACAUCAUACGAUGAGCCAAAGUGCCACAUAGUUCUUUCAGGAAAAAGGGACAUCGUGGGAGUGGAGGGCAAGACAGACAUUUCUGAAGAUUAUAAAAAGUUUCAUGAAAUUCCUCCCUUCAAAGUCAAGGCUGACCCCAGCAUCCUGAUAAGCGAUGAAGAUUAUCCAUGGUUACGGCGCAAUAAGCAAAUGACACAAGCGAAGAAAAAGUGAAGACUUUCUCCCGCAACUAUUAUGAUGAUACCAUGCCAACUUUGUAACACACGAGUAUGAUACCAUUGUCCAUUUUGUACAUGCACAUGCUAUAUAUGUGGGUGAAUUUAUGAUACCAUGCCAACUUUCAACUUUUUCAUAUUUCAUUAGAAACAAAGCAAGAAAAAAACAAAAAAACAAAAAAAAGUGUUUUCAAAUUUGGAAAUUAAUGGCACUAAUAGAAAGUUUAUAAUUUUUCUAAAACUAAAAGCAAAAAGAAUUAAAAAAUAAAGCAAAAAACAAAAGAAAAUAAAUAAUGCAGAAUACAAAACAAAAAAACAAUUAAAAAUAGCAACAAUAAGUAUUUUGUUGUAAGUAGAAACAAAAUAAAAUAAAUAAAGCAAGAAAGAAAACAAAAAAACAAAAAAGUGUUUUCAAAUUUGAAAACUAAUGGCACUAAUAGAAAGUUUAUAAUUUUUCUAAAACUAAAAGCAAAAAGAAUUAAAAAAUAAAGCAAAAAACAAAAGAAAAUAAAUAAUGCAGAAAACAAAACAAAAAAGCUGGAAAAUAAUUAAAAAUAGCAACAAUAAGUAUUUUGUUGUAAGUAGAAACAAAAUAAAAUAAAUAAAGCAAGAAAGAAAACAAAAAAAAUGCCUCCUACUGGGCCCCCACGGCCUGAAUACGACUAGAAACCCUACCAUGGGCCAGGAUUCAGGCCCGCAGUAGGCACAGAAGGCCCAUCAGGCAAAGCAGUAGCAAUUAGGCCCGCAAGCCUACGGUGGAGAGGAGCUCGAGAGGGGUGCUGCAGUGGGGUUUAUAAACCACUGCGCGCCCCUCUCAACUAGCAAGGUGGGACUAAACUUUGGCCCCGACACGGGCAGCACAGGGUCCUUUGGUCCCGGUUGGUGGCACCAACCGGGACUAAAGGGCCUUUAGUCCCGGUUGGUGCCACCAACCGGGACCAAAGGUCGCCGCUUCCCGCCCUUUGGCUGCUGAAAAGAGGCCUUUGGUCCUGGUUGGUGGUACCAACCGGGACUAAAGGGGGCAUUAGUCCCGGUUGGCCUCACGAACCGGGACUAAUGCCCUUGAUAUAUAUACAGCACUUAGGAAAAUUUGACGAACACAUCGCUAGUUGCCCCCGGCCCGCCCGACGACGCCGAGCUCAUCGACGCCGCCAGGCUGCCCAGAUCGACGCCGUCCGCUGCCCCGACGCCGCCCACCGCCCAGACGUUGUCCGCGCGCCGCCCCGACGCCGUCCGCGCGCCCCCGNNNNNNNNNNNNNNNNNNNNNNNNNNNNNNNNNNNNNNNNNNNNNNNNNNNNNNNNNNNNNNNNNNNNNNNNNNNNNNNNNNNNNNNNNNNNNNNNNNNNNNNNNNNNNNNNNNNNNNNNNNNNNNNNNNNNNNNNNNNNNNNNNNNNNNNNNNNNNNNNNNNNNNNNNNNNNNNNNNNNNNNNNNNNNNNNNNNNNNNNNNNNNNNNNNNNNNNNNNNNNNNNNNNNNNNNNNNNNNNNNNNNNNNNNNNNNNNNNNNNNNNNNNNNNNNNNNNNNNNNNNNNNNNNNNNNNNNNNNNNNNNNNNNNNNNNNNNNNNNNNNNNNNNNNNNNNNNNNNNNNNNNNNNNNNNNNNNNNNNNNNNNNNNNNNNNNNNNNNNNNNNNNNNNNNNNNNNNNNNNNNNNNNNNNNNNNNNNNNNNNNNNNNNNNNNNNNNNNNNNNNNNNNNNNNNNNNNNNNNNNNNNNNNNNNNNNNNNNNNNNNNNNNNNNNNNNNNNNNNNNNNNNNNNNNNNNNNNNNNNNNNNNNNNNNNNNNNNNNNNNNNNNNNNNNNNNNNNNNNNNNNNNNNNNNNNNNNNNNNNNNNNNNNNNNNNNNNNNNNNNNNNNNNNNNNNNNNNNNNNNNNNNNNNNNNNNNNNNNNNNNNNNNNNNNNNNNNNNNNNNNNNNNNNNNNNNNNNNNNNNNNNNNNNNNNNNNNNNNNNNNNNNNNNNNNNNNNNNNNNNNNNNNNNNNNNNNNNNNNNNNNNNNNNNNNNNNNNNNNNNNNNNNNNNNNNNNNNNNNNNNNNNNNNNNNNNNNNNNNNNNNNNNNNNNNNNNNNNNNNNNNNNNNNNNNNNNNNNNNNNNNNNNNNNNNAUAUAAUGUUCAUAGCAUUUUUUUUAUUUAUAUAUGUUUUUUCAUAGAUGUAUUAAUUUUUUAUUUAGGUUGUUAGUAGAUAUCGAUUUUAGGUUAGUGCAUUUUAAUUAGGUUAGUGUAGAGGAAAAAGUAAAAUAAGGAAAAGGAAGAAAAGAGGAAGAAGGAAGAAGAAGAAGAAAAAGAAUGAGAGGGAAAAGGAAAAUAAGAAGAGGAAGAAAGGAGAAGAAGAGGAGAGGAAAAGAAGAGGAGAAAUAAAUAAGAAGAAAAAAAAGAAGAAAAAGAAGAGGAGAAGAAGAAAGGAAUAGAGGAGAAGAAGAAAAAAUAGAAAAAAUUCUAAUUUUUUUUUCUUCUCCUCCUCUUUUUUUUCUUCUUUUUUUCUUCGAUCUUCUCCUCUAUUCCUUUCUUCUUCUCCUCUUUUUAUUUCUUCUUUGUUUUCUUAUGUUUUAUCGGGUCUGUCGCCGUCAGGCUGCUCGCCUUCGCCCUCGCCGCCCCCUCGAGAUAACUUCGACAUGAGGGGCGGUCGAUAUAUAUACCCCCUCUCGACCGUGAUAACCUAUACAACGGCAGCACCCCCCUCGGCCCUCUCGCUCGACCAAAACUCUCGAGGCCACCCAAAUUUACCAAGUUAAAAGAGCGUUGUCGUCGAGGCCACCCCUAACCCUUGAAGCGUUGUGUCGAGGCGAUCCCAAACCCUAGAGAAGCAGCGUCGAGGCCACUAACAUGAUUCCUUAUUGUGAUUAGCUAGCUAGUUCUACGUUUGCCACUAAUAUAUAUCCAUCUGUACCAUGUUUGAAUAAUAAUUGACAUGUUGUAAAUAUUUGCAGAAACUAUGGAGCACUACCGAGACGAAGCACUAGAAGCGAUGUUGGGGGAGAUGAUCGCAGAAGGAACUGAUGUCAUUGCGUCAUUUUUCAACGACGUCGUUGGUCAGGAAGGACUGGGUGAAGAAGAGGGCUAUGUUCAUGAUGGCUCCGGCUCAUUAAUGCCGGUACAAGAAGAGGGCUAUGUUCAUGAUGGCUCCGGUGAUGACCCAAUGGAGGUACAAGAAGGAGACCGUGCUGACUACUCCGGUGACUGAACCGAGUCCAGCCAGGUAUAUAUAUAGUAGUUAAGCCCGUGCUGACUAGUUAAUUAAUGCAUUCAUUGUUUUGGUAUAUGUACAUAUAUUAAUUAUUCUCGGCUUUCUUCCUUUUAAUUUCUAGCCCUCCGGAUCGAGCACAACUUCGGUAAGGAGACGAGGCCCGAAGAAAAAGUUGAGCUCGGAUGAAAGGUUUGAGAUCAUAGAAAUCGCGCCCGACGGCGAACCGAUUGAACCCAUCCGGACAAAGAACGCAUUUUCUGCUCAGUGCGGGGUUCUUGUUAGGGACAAGAUCUCAAUCAGCAUCCAGCAAUGGUAUAAGCCUAAGGACGACCCUGAGGUGUCUUAUGUCAAUGAUAUGCAGAAAGAAGGUCUUUGGACUCAGCUGAAGGCAAAUUUCACCCUACCGCCAGAGGAGGAUCCGGAGAAGCCAGUUAAAGAGCAAUUAAUCAAGUCGUCUGCUCUUAAGAAGAUGGCAACCCUAUUCAGGAGGUGGAGGAAAGAGUUGAAUCAUUUUGUCGGAAAAAAAAGACACCAGAAUUCAUCGGCAAAUAUGAGAAGAUCAAAGAUCACUGGCCCGCAUUUGUGGCCCACAAGACAUCGGAAAAGAGUAAGAAGAUGUCGGCGACGAACAAGCAAAAUGCUGCGAAGAAGAAGCUUCACCAUCGCACGGGGUCAGGUGGCUACCUCAAAGCCCGGCCUAAGUGGUCCAAGGAGGAGAAUGAUCUGCUUGAAAAAGGGAUCGAACCAGAGAUAAUGAGAUGGCCAGACUGUUGCCGGACUUGGUUCUUCAGGGCUGGCGGAACCUUGGACCCUGUAUCAGGGAUGUGCCGUUGGACGGACGAGCAACUGGAAAUACCAGUCAAGAACCUUCGACACUAUAUCAAUGCAGCGCAGAAAGGGACGUUCGUACCAGACAGGGAGAAGGACGAGCUCACAAUGGCCCUCGGGAAUCCUGAGCACCCUGGACGGACACGAGGCACGACAGGCUCCAUUCCAUGGAAGGUUGGUUUUCCGGACGCAGGGGGUUACAAAACCCACGAGAGGAGGAAGAAACUGGAGCAGGGCCAACUGCAGGCGCUGCACGAAAGGGUAAUGGGGCUAGAGGAACGAGAAGAGGAACGAGAAGCAGCAGAUCGCAGCAAAUGACCUACCGAAGCUUCCCCCGAAGCUACCCCGCCAUCUCAGCGGAGAAGCGGCGUGGCUUCCAUCGAGCUUCUUCAGCCGGAGCAUGUCUUGACGGCUCCUGCCAGCUAUCCCGUGGAUGCUAUCAUGGAGUCUCAACAUUGCCACAUUAUGGCGCGAUGGAUGAAUUUGAAGGUCAAGGCGGCUGUUGGCUCUGUUUAUCCUAGUGGAUCCGGAGCAACUUAUCACUGCCGGCCGAUUCCAGAAGGAUAUGCUAAGGUGAUGGUGGAUAAAAUAACGGAGGGAUUUGAGGACCUCGUGCUUGACCACCCUACCGGUGAAGGGGAGACUAGGAUGGGUUCUGCUCUGAAGACUCCAUGCCUAUGGCGGAAGGAGCUCAUCAACCUUCCGAACUGGACGCCUCUGCCUCCUCCUCCUCCUCCUCCGGCGAGUCAGGGCACUCCGCCUCCUCCUCCGGCGAGUGACGAUCAGGGAACGCGUGGCGGCACUCCACCUCCUUCUCCGACGCGUGGCGGCACUCCGCCUCCUUCUUCGCCUGUGCCGGCGCUCCCGAGCAGCCAGCAGCCUCCUCCUUCUCCGCCUCGCCAGCAAGGGCGGAAGAGACCCGCCGCCGCCCCGGCUGCUCUGGCGCGUCGUACUCCUUCUCCUCCGCCUCGUAAGCAAGCACGAAAGAAGACAGACACCGCAGCCGCUCCGUCUGCUCCGAUGUCUAGCAGCACAACCAGAGGCGGGAGGCAAUACAGAUACGGUCCACCUCUCAAGCCUCUAGAGAAGUUACCAUACGAGAGGACCGAGGAGGAAAACGAUAGAAUUGGGCGGACCCACGUGAAGGAGUUCUUUGAAGGGGUGAAAGCAAAUAGACAUCCACCUCCGGAGGAGAAGGUAGAUCUGGUGAAAGCAAAGCGCACUAUCGAUACCCUGAGGAAACCACCAAAGUCUCCGCCGAGAACCAACUAUGAGCGCAUUACUGAACAGACAUAUCUCCAAGCCCAGCGGUCGGGAACUACUGUCAGUGCUAAAAGGUUAAAAGAACAAGCAAAGGGGAAAAAAUUGCCCAGCUCGGCGAACAAGCACAGCAAUCGUGCCCCCCUCUCAAUGUGUCUAAUGCUCCGGAGACGGUGGCCGGUUAUGGCAAUCUUGCAGAUUACCUGCCUGACGAUCAACUUCCUGAUUUCUUGGAGGUGGACGAACACAGAUACGAGUACGGGAAGCCUCUCGUCAAAGAUGAAAAAUCUCUGACAACAAUGAUGCGAAGAUUCCAUAAUUGGUACAUGGAAACCUGCAGAGAGUCUGGGGGUACGAAUGCUUUGUAUCUGAAUAUUAAAGAGGAGCACGACCUCGUUGCAAAUGAUCUGUUGACUGUUCCAUUUGAUGAGUUCUUCGCGUUCUUCAAUCAAAAGGCCCUCGAUAAACUAAUGGUCUUUUGCUACUGUCUGUAAGUACUAUUUCUGUCAUUAAGUCUCUAUAUAUAGCUCGUCUCUUUCAUUUCAUGUAUUUAUAAUUAAUUAUCCUCAAUAUAUUAUGCAGACUGAAGAUCGUCGAGUGCAAAAAAUAAGAAAUUUAUGAUAUUGGGUUUAUUAACACAAAUAUCAUAGAUGAAUUUCUGGUUAAAAAGGACGUCAAAGAGGCCGAGGACAACUUGCUACAAUCGUUGAUCAAAAAUCAAAACAAAGAUACCAUACUCUUUCCUUACAACGGCAAGUGAGUGUUACUGUCGUGUGCAUAUUCGGUUUCCCUUAUUACUCGAGCGAGGUUAUAGUAAUGUAAUUAAUGAGUUAUGCAUGCGUGCGCAGGUACCACUAUAUUCUUCUGGAGAUUAAGCUUGAGCGUGGACUAGUAACCGUCUUAGACUCGAGACGGAAAGAUCCCAAAACCUAUGCGGACAUGACUGAAAUGCUCAGCAAGUAAGUUCAAUCGAUCAUUAUCGCACCAUAUCGGCAACUUUUUGUUCAUUUCCUGAUAUCUCAAGUAAUAAUAAUUAUUUUCUUUGUCUUGCAGGGCUUGGAAACAGUUCACCGCACAAGCUCCGGGACUGCCGAAGGAGCUGCGAUAUACAUACCCGAAAGUAAGUACUACUGGCUAGCUAGUUGCGCGCAUCUCCCGUUGAUUCUAUAGCUAUACUUUCAUCAAUGCCAUUUAUAAUGCUUCAUUAUCAGUUUGAUUGACCUCUAUUUCUCGUAAAGUGCUUGUGGCAGGAAGAAGGGAAUGAUUUCUGUGGAUAGUACGUGUGCGAGUUCAUCCACAACGCGACUUUGAAAAACAAGUGGGGCUACUCUCAAAGAUAAUAUGAAGUGUGUAAGCAAUAAUAUUCACAAUUUAAUUUUAUUACACCAUCAUUUCUGUUGAGUUUCAUUCAUAUAUAUGUAUUAAUUAACCCCCUUCUUCAAAUUAGACGUGGCAGAUGCGGAAUGAACUCCUAGAACCAGAUCGCAUGAAAGCAAUUCAAGAGGAAUUGGCGGGAUUCUUUGUUGACCACGUCAUCAAUAAAGCCGGAGAAUACCAUGUGGAAAUUGAUUUCAAUUGCUAGGGGAUUGUAAUUAAGAGAUCUUAUACAUAUUGUACAUGUAUGUAGCCAGUAGCGUCGGAUACAUGAUAUACGAAAACUUGUUGUUCGACCAAUCUCUCGGAGAAGGAGAGGUCGAUCGAUCACUUCUCUCGGUAUGCAUGACGAACUUCUGUACUCAAUGGUUCUCUCGAUCACUUAUGUAUAUAUAGUACGUAGCNNNNNNNNNNNNNNNNNNNNNNNNNNNNNNNNNNNNNNNNNNNNNNNNNNNNNNNNNNNNNNNNNNNNNNNNNNNNNNNNNNNNNNNNNNNNNNNNNNNNNNNNNNNNNNNNNNNNNNNNNNNNNNNNNNNNNNNNNNNNNNNNNNNNNNNNNNNNNNNNNNNNNNNNNNNNNNNNNNNNNNNNNNNNNNNNNNNNNNNNNNNNNNNNNNNNNNNNNNNNNNNNNNNNNNNNNNNNNNNNNNNNNNNNNNNNNNNNNNNNNNNNNNNNNNNNNNNNNNNNNNNNNNNNNNNNNNNNNNNNNNNNNNNNNNNNNNNNNNNNNNNNNNNNNNNNNNCCGCUCCUUUCAAAAAAAACAAAAACCCCAGCCACUGGAAGGCUGACGCGUGGAUGCCUUUUGGUCCCGGUUGGUACCACCAACCGGGACCAAAGGCCCCCUGACUGGGCUCGGCGCACAGGGCCACGUGGAGGCACAUUGGUCCCGGUUCGUGUUUGAACCGGGACUAAUGGGUGGAGGUAUUAGUAACGACCCAUUAGUCCCGGUUCAUGAACCGGGACUAAAGGCCCUUACGAACCGGGACUAUUAGGUGUUUCUCUACUAGUGAAAAGGCCCAAGUUCAACUAUACUCUUUGAUGUUUUGGCUAUGGGCUGGGCCGGCUAUGGCCCAUCUGCCUUGCUUUAGCUCCACCAGUGGUCAAGACUAUCAAGAAAAGGCACCAUGAAAAUUACUAUAACAAAUUUUCUCUUACUCAACUCGCAAUAAGAAAAAUCUCUCGGUGAUAGUGCUAUGCAACAUACGAGAGACCAUAAUAAUCUCUCACCCGUCCCAUGGUGCUGGCAGGGUCAACUCUAUAAUUUUGAGAGCCCUUGUGUGACAUUGGCAAAUUGAUAGUCUUUUUUUCUUUUAUUGUGCAUGAAAACUCCUUUUAAGCAACAUUAUAGUAACCCUAAAACUGACAAGGAAAGUAAAUACAUAAGUAGAAUUUUAGAAAUCAGAGCACUAACAUUUAACAUGCUUCGACGAAUGGGUGGCUCUGGUAAUAUGGAUAUGGAUACGAGGAAUGAGAGGCCUAGAGAGUGACAAGUUCAUGCUUUGUUGUCACAGACACCCGAGGAGGCGGCAAGACACUCACGUCGUCAAGCUACGAGACAAACCUGUGAAGAUGAAGAUCACGAAUUACAAUUAGGAGAACUGGUGAUGCCAUGUGUCCAUGUCGCACACCGAUUAUGAUUAUUUUCCUUUUUAUGGACCAGUUCAACCAAGGCUAAAGGCCUAAAGCUUCUUGGAGAGCGUGUAUACCUUAAUUUUAGGAGAGCUCAUUUGAAAAAAGCCAGAAGACUAAAAAAGAAAAAUCAGGCCGAAAGUUUCCAUAACCAAAGUUGGCCCAUAAGCUUCUGGAAGCUUCCUAAAACCGACAGGAGGGAGCUUCCUCUCAUGUGAAUGCCAUAGAUUGGGCAGCCCUUUUAUAAUCUAUUGAAGGAAGAGGUGUGUGCGCUUUUUACCAAUAACUUGGAAACCAAUGCUAAAUAGCAUAUUUCCACUUUUAGCGCGGCGUAGAACAGAAUUUGACUAUAGAUCCACGGUAUGGGCAAAUCCCAACAUUUUUUCUAUAGGGGCAGAUGCCUCACUCUAACGAGUAGGAUUUUUUUGUUCUUAUUUUCACAUUUUUCUUUUCAUUUUUCCUAAUUUUCUAGAAAACGCUCUAUAACAUAUAUGGGUGAUCAUAUAGUUUAAUAAGUGUUCAUGUACUUUAAAAAUGUUCAUCACGUAUUUAUAAAAUGUUUUCAAAAUAUGAAACAUUUUUGAAAUACACAUGCAAUUACAAAAGUGUUCAUAUUUUUCUGAAAAUAUACACUAUGAAUAUCUUGAACAAUAUGGAUGAAGAUUUAUUUUAAUACAUGAUGAACCUUUGAAAUCACAAUAUUUUCUAAAAAAUACACAACGAUUUUUAUAUACACAAUAAACAUGUUUUUCAUACACGAUGAACAUUUUGUAAAAACAUGAGUGAACAUUGCCCAACUCCGAUGAGGGAGGGCCAAUGAUGGUAGUACGCCUUCGCCUUGCUCGAGUGAUUGUAGACAUCGCUAGGUGGUCUACGGACCAGGACAUAAGUUCUGUUACCUCUGGUGUUCUUGUACUGACAUGAUGGUUGAUAAGUAGAUCAGAUUUUUUCCGUAAUCUUAUUAAGAAAAAUGUUCAACUUGUCUUACAAAUUGUUCCAGAGAUUAAGAAAAAUAUAUUCGCAUUUUUCAAAAAGAACAGUACAUUUCAAUUUUUUCACAUGUUUAGAAUAUUGUUCAUGGCCAUAUUAAAAUAUUCAUGAAAUAUAAAAAAUGCGUUAUUACAGUUUUGGAAAGAUGUUUGUGGUAUAUAAAAAAUGUUCAUCAUGUAUUUAUAAAACAAUCAAACUUGUAUUAAAAAAAUAUUAUAUGUGUAUCUGAAAAUGUUUAUUAUUUUUAAUAAUUUCAGUGUGUAUUUGAAAAAUAGAAAAAAAAACAUGAAACAAUGAAUAGGAAAAGUAAAAGAGAAACCAAAAAUGAAAAACCUAAACAAACCCAAUAAACAAGAGAAAUAAAAAACCGGACAAAACGUUAUGAAAUCACAAGAAACAAACAAAUGCUACACACCUCCACCACUACUGGGCCACAGCCCACACCGCAUCGCCAGAGACAUAGCAUUUGCGCAAAAUGACCGCACGCAUUGAACAAACUGUCGGCUAGCUAGUUAUUAGAAAGACAUGUAACUUAAUUCAAACUCAACAAAAUUAUAGCUACAAUGCUUUGGAUCAUAGAUACAAGAAAUUACAAAAUAACUCAUAUAACUAAGAAUUACAAUGAAACCCUCUUGAGUCAAAAUAUGAUAAACAGAGGAAAAAAACAUUAGCACAUAUAAUCCUUACUCUAUCCGAAUAUAUGGCGGUGCUAAACUUAGCAACCCCAUUAGUUUUGGAGCUCCAGCUUCAUGGAGUCUUUUUUGGAAAAUCAUACAUGCAUAACUAAAACACACUCAUGCAUGAGGCUGGAGAAUCAGGGGCAUGCAGCAUCAAAAUAGGUUAGUUUGUCGGAGAGUUAGAUUUAAUAAUUUGAGACAUUACGCAUGAUAAAAUUGUCAUUGGUAUCUACCAUUUUGAAACUGUGCACAGUAUACCGGGCCAGAGGGAGUGCUUGAGAAAACACUGAGAGUCAGCGAAAACUCGGUCUACUAAGCAAACCAUGGAGCCUUGGGGCGUCCUAACAGGUGGUGAAGCUCACGCACGAGGUGACUGCACAAUCGGGCCAGUUCUUUUCCGGAGAGCUUUCCUUUCGAUUGUGAAUUGAACUGCAGCGAUUGCUUUUUACUUUGUAUUGCAUUGCACAAACGUGUACACUGUCUAUCUUAAUUUCUAAAUGAUGGCCGGUCACAUGGACGUGUGAGCACGGGAUUGACAAGGCAACUAACAGAAUUCUAUUACUACGAGGAGGCAACUGAUAAAGUAAAAAUAUUGUUACCCACCCUACUAUCAUCAGAUGGAGACACGCACGCAGAAUCCACUGGACAAGGCGACUAACAUAAUUCUAUUACCACGAGGAUGCAACUAAUAGAGUAAAAAUAUUGUUACUCACACGUACUACCACCACAAAAGACACACACGCAGAAUCCAGCUGUACUUAUUAACACGUCUAGCUACCUACGUGUGGUUUCUUCAUUUGUAAUCAACUAAUCAACCAAUAUAACUCCACCGACAUGUUAUACAGUACUACUUGUCACUCCAGCUAGGUAACUGCAAUGCUAAUUAAUGCAGCCUCCAGAUCUGGUUUGUUUCACCCAGCCUAUAAAACCACACAAUAUGUACCUUCAGUUCUCACACAACACACACACAAAGCACAGCAGGUGCAACACUAACUGCAAGCACAAGAAGUAGGCAGCAAUGGCGAAGCAUCGCCUCCUUGCCGUGCUCCUCAUCGGGAUAGUUGCAGCUUCCUCUUUCAACCAAGCAGCUACGGCUGGCCGAGGCCUUGCUGUUGUUGAGAAGUUCGCAGAGCUAGAGCCAAAGCCAGAACCCAAACCAGAGCCAAUGCCCAAACCUAUGCCACACCCAGAGUCAGAGCCCUGCAAACCUGAACCGCUGCCCAAACCCGAACCAAAGCCUGGACAGAAACCUGAACCAGAACCCAAGCCCAAGCCGAUGCCAAAACCAAAGCCAAAGCCCAAGCCCUGCUCCAAAC